GACGAACGCUGGCGGCGUGCCUAAUACAUGCAAGUCGAGCGAAGUUUUUCUGGUGCUUGCACUAGAAAAACUUAGCGGCGCACGGGUGAGUAACACGUAAAGAACCUGCCUCAUAGACUGGGACAACUAUUGGAAACGAUAGCUAAUACCGGAUAACAGUAUUUCUCGCAUGAGAGAGAUUUAAAAGUUGGUUAUGCUAACACUAUGAGAUGGCUUUGCGGUGCAUUAGCUAGUUGGUGGGGUAACGGCCCACCAAGGCGACGGUGCAUAGCCGACCUGAGAGGGUGAUCGGCCACACUGGGACUGAGACACGGCCCAGACUCCUACGGGAGGCAGCAGUAGGGAAUCUUCCGCAAAGGGCGAAAGCCUGACGGAGCAACGCCGCGUGAGUGAAGAAGGAUUUCGGUUCGUAAAGCUCUGUUGUUAGGGAAGAAUGGAUAUGUAGUAACUAUACAUGUAAGUGACGGUACCUAACCAGAAAGCCACGGCUAACUACGUG
rnacentral:rRNA from 1 species